rnacentral:rRNA from 1 species
UGCGUAGGUGGUUUCUUAAGUCAGAGGUGAAAGGCUACGGCUCAACCGUAGUGAGCCUUUGAAACUGGGAAACUUGAGUGCAGGAGAGGAGAGUGGAAUUCCUAGUGUAGCGGUGAAAUGCGUAGAUAUUAGGAGGAACACCAGUUGCGAAGGCGGCUCUCUGGACUGUAACUGACACUGAGGCACGAAAGCGUGGGGAGCAAACA